AGCUAUGCAGAUUGUUGAUGUGAUAGUCUGUUUUGUUUUUAGAUGAUAAUGCUAAUUUAGUGACCCCAAGAAAUGCAUCUAGCUACAAAAUGCGGUACAGUAACAUCACACAAACAUGUAUUUCUCAGGGAGAUACUUGUGGAGAUUUCAAGGAAACCUGAGGCUAUACAAGUUAUGGUCAACACUGAAAGAAAGUGACAACAACCCCCAAAGACUCGGACUCGUCCCUCCUAUCCCACUACCAACCAAGCAAGAGUUUCUCAAGGAACAUCAGUGCAAAGGGCUUGCAUCAAAACUGCCGGAGUAACAGAACCAUGGAUGACUUGGACAACUUGCUGCAUAAUAAGAAACUGAACACACAAAUCUCUGUUAUGUAAAAAUCCAUGUUUUCAUUUUAAUUCACAAUUAAACACUUU